UCAGGACGAACGCUGGCGGCGUGCUUAACACAUGCAAGUCGAGCGAGGCCCACUCUUCGGGGUGGUGCCCUAGCGGGAAACGGGUGAGUAACACGUGGGCAACCUGCCCUCAGCUCUGGGAUAACUCCAAGAAAUUGGUGCUAAUACCGGAUGUGACCGCUGACCGCAUGGUCUGGUGGUGGAAAGAUUCAUCGGCUGAGGAUGGGCCCGCGGCCUAUCAGCUUGUUGGUGGGGUAGUGGCCCACCAAGGCGACGACGGGUAGCCGGCCUGAGAGGGUGACCGGCCACAUGGGACUGAGACACGGCCCAGACUCCUACGGGAGGCAGCAGUGGGGAAUAUUGCGCAAUGGGCGAAAGCCUGACGCAGCGACGCCGCGUGGGGGAUGACGGCCUUCGGGUUGUAAACCUCUUUCAGUAGGGACGAAGCGACAAGGAACGGUACCUACAGAAGAAGCACCGGCCAAAUACGUGCCAGCAGCCGCGGUAAUACGUAGGGUGCAAGCGUUGUCCGGAAUUAUUGGGCGUAAAGAGCUCGUAGGCGGUCUGUCGCGUCGGCUGUGAAAACCCGAGGCUCAACCUCGGGCCUGCAGUCGAUACGGGCAAACUAGAGUACUGCAGGGGAGACUGGAAUUCCUGGUGUAGCGGUGAAAUGCGCAGAUAUCAGGAGGAACACCGGUGGCGAAGGCGGGUCUCUGGGCAGUAACUGACGCUGAGGAGCGAAAGCGUGGGGAGCGAACAGGAUUAGAUACCCUGGUAGUCCACGCCGUAAACGUUGGGCGCUAGGUGUGGGGGCCAUUCCACGGUCUCCGUGCCGCAGCUAACGCAUUAAGCGCCCCGCCUGGGGAGUACGGCCGCAAGGCUAAAACUCAAAGGAAUUGACGGGGGCCCGCACAAGCGGCGGAGCAUGUUGCUUAAUUCGAUGCAACGCGAAGAACCUUACCUAGGCUUGACAUGCACGGAAAUCUCGUAGAGAUACGGGGUGCCUUUGGCGUCGUGCACAGGUGGUGCAUGGUUGUCGUCAGCUCGUGUCGUGAGAUGUUGGGUUAAGUCCCGCAACGAGCGCAACCCUCGUUCUAUGUUGCCAGCACGUGAUGGUGGGGACUCAUAGGAGACUGCCGGGGUCAACUCGGAGGAAGGUGGGGAUGACGUCAAAUCAUCAUGCCCCUUAUGUCUAGGGCUGCAAACAUGCUACAAUGGCCGGUACAAAGGGCUGCGAUACCGCGAGGUGGAGCGAAUCCCAAAAAGCCGGUCUCAGUUCGGAUUGGGGUCUGCAACUCGACCCCAUGAAGUUGGAGUCGCUAGUAAUCGCAGAUCAGCAACGCUGCGGUGAAUACGUUCCCGGGCCUUGUACACACCGCCCGUCACGUCACGAAAGUCGGUAACGCCCGAAGCCGGUGGCCCAACCCUUGUGGAGGGAGCCGUCGAAGGCGGGAUCGGCGAUUGGGACGAAGUCGUAACAA
rnacentral:rRNA from 1 species